rnacentral:tRNA from 1 species
CGGAGUGUGGUACAGUGGGUAAGUGAAACCGUUUGUAACUGAAAGGUCGCAGGUUCGAAUCCUGCAACUGCCG